rnacentral:lncRNA from 1 species
GUUAUUUUGCUUUAUGUUUAAAAUAUUUUCUAUUUAACGCUUCAAUCUAAAAUUGUGGGGAAAAAAACAAGAAAUUAAAGUGUUGAUGUAUAUUAAAACCAUUGGGAAAUGACUGUUAAUAAAUGACAAACGCAUUUAAAAGUUUGAUUUUGUUUAUCCAUUAAUCUGGAUUCAAAAUGUCUGUUUGAGCAGCUGGUUGUCAUUUCUUCUUCCUCCGCACAAUUUGAUUGAUGUCUGCGCUGUCCGUGCGUGCGUGUACUCGUGCGUGCGUGUCACCUGGUUUCUAUUUCCCGCAGCGCUGGAUUAAACUCUGAUUGACAGGCUGUUCGUGAUGACACACGUCCUGUUUGGGACAAUUAACAGCCUUCCCCCACAGUUCCCAGCAUCCGUGUGUGCGCGCGCGCGCGCGUGUGUGUGUGUGUGAGACAACACAGCAGGAAACAGGAAACCAGAGAAGAAGAAGCAGCAGGAACUUGUUUGAGUAUAAAAACAGCUGCCGAAGUCUGAGAACAACUCUGAAGUUUUAGUAGUUCAGCCCAGUUACCAGUUGGGUUUGGACCAGUUCACCCGGUCUCUUCAUGGGUAGGAUGCCUCCGCCCCAUCAUCCACCAUCAUCCACGAAGCAAUGCAUUCUGGGAGGACAAGAGCAACAGUGGUUAGCAGAGGUUUCCAGCUUCAGAGUGAAGACGUCACUCCCACUCCCGACUAUGACUCUGACUACAAGGCCACCUUUGAUUACAGCUUCUUCAGUCAGUCUCACACACACACACACACACACACACACACACACACACACACACACACACACACACACACACACAGACACGGAUGUCCUACAGCUUACUUACAGGUGUGUCUUAAGGUAACGCCAGCAGUGAAGACUUGGACAAGUUCAGUGAACAAUUUGAGGACAUCACCGUUACCAUGGCAACCACUCCAGAAACAACAGAAAGGGGCAGGAUUAAUGUUCACAAUGCUGCACCACAUCCAGAGUUUCUGGAGGUCCGAACGCUUCUCUGGACUCUCUUGGUGCUGAUCACACAACAGCUGCAACACACACUCUAGGAGCAGCACCGGGUCAGCGGGUCAGGAGAAUUUAGGAGGAGUCAUCUUAAGGAAGCUUCUCUCUGAUUGGCUCCUUUCUCUUUUUUGUUUGAUCCUGAACCAAUCAGUGAGGCUCACCUGUUCCGAAGUGGGCGGGGCCACCGGCAGGUGUCCAGCUGGACAAGCCACACAGCUUCACGCGCAGCACAGUUCACCACGGCAACGUUUGGCACUGAAUCACUUUUUCUUCUAACCAAUCAGUUUCUGCCUCCUCUGGAUUAGUGGAUCUGGUGGAUUAACAUGGACGCUCAUUCACGCUAAAGAAAAGUUAGAGAGAAAAGAAAAGGAAGUAUUUUCAUGUGUAUGAAAUAAAUCUGAUCUUUGCACAUGAAUCUGACCUGAAAUCAGAAAUCUGUGAGAAGGCAGCGCUGUUUAUUACACACAAGCUGAUCUUUUAUUACCUUUACUCCAGUAAAUUAGCUUGGAUUCAGCUCUGUAGUUAACUUAUUUGUAAAAGCGUAUUGUUACACUUCUGUUCGACAUCAUAGUCAAUAAUGAAACAGUCAUAUUUAAGAGUUUCAAUCUUCGAUGUUUGAGGUUUAAACCUGUGAAAUUGCUGUUAAACUGUUCACCACUGACUCACAUGGAUGCUGCCAGUAACCGAACGUCUGAGGACCCUGGAAUAACGAUCCAUCAAUCAAUCAGCCAAUCGACUUCUGCUGCAGUUCAUCAAUAUCCAAUGAGUUUCCAGGAAAUAAUCAAACAAGCACUUUAUCUUUGCCUUUCACAAUAAAAUCUAUUAAAAGUUCUGAAUCAUUUUCUCCUUUUAACCAAUACAUUUACUUUCUCUGACCCAUUAGAACCAGUCCCCUGACCCUCUCUGACCCAGUAGAACCAGUCUCCUGACCCUCUCUGACCCAGUAGAACCAGUCCCCUGACCCUCUCUGACCCAGUAGAACCAGUCUCCUGAC